UACGUAGGGUGCAAGCGUUGUCCGGAAUCAUUGGGCGUAAAGCGCGCGUAGGUGGCUUUGUAAGUCCGUUGUGAAAGUCAAAGGCUCAACCUUUGAAUGCCGAUGGAUACUGCGGAGCUAGAGUACGGAAGAGGCGAGUGGAAUUCCUGGUGUAGCGGUGGAAUGCGCAGAUAUCAGGAGGAACACCAAUAGCGAAGGCAGCUCGCUGGGACGUUACUGACACUAAGGCGUGAAAGCGUGGGGAGCGAACAGG
rnacentral:rRNA from 1 species